UACGUAGGGGGCAAGCGUUAUCCGGAUUUACUGGGUGUAAAGGGAGCGUAGACGGCUUUGCAAGCCAGAUGUGAAAGCCCGGGGCUCAACCCCGGGACUGCAUUUGGAACUGUGUGGCUAGAGUGUCGGAGAGGCAGGCGGAAUUCCUAGUGUAGCGGUGAAAUGCGUAGAUAUUAGGAGGAACACCAGAGGCGAAGGCGGCCUGCUGGACGAUGACUGACGUUGAGGCUCGAAAGCGUGGGGAGCAAACAGG
rnacentral:rRNA from 1 species